rfam:Schistosoma haematobium scaffold636_43, whole genome shotgun sequence.
AUCCAACUGACGAGUCCUAAAUAAGACAGAAUGCGCGUCCUGGAU